rnacentral:rRNA from 1 species
GAUGAACGCUGGCGGCGUGCCUAAUACAUGCAAGUCGAGCGAACAGACGAGGAUCUUGCUCCUCUGACGUUAGCGGCGGACGGGUGAUUAACACGUGGAUAACCUACCUAUAAGACUGGGAUAACUUCGGGAAACCGGAGCUAAUACCGGAUAAUAUAUUGAACCGCAUGGUUCAAUAGUGAAAUACGGUUUUUCUGUCACUUAUAGAUGGAUCCGCGCCGCAUUAGCUAGUUGGUAAGGUAACGGCUUACCAAGGCAACGAUGCGUAGCCGACCUGAGGGGGUGAUCGGCCAAACUGGAACUGAGACACGGAACAGACACCUACGGGAGGCAGCAGUAGGGAAUAUUACGCAAUGGGCGAAAGCUUGACGGAGCAACGCCGCGUGAGUGAUGAAGGUGUUCGGAUCGUAAAACUCUGUUAUUAGGGAAGAACAAAUGUGUAAGUAAAUAUGCACGUCUUGACGGUAACUAAUCAGAAAGCCACGGCUAACUACGUG